UGAGCAAUCUGCCCUUCUCUUCGGAAUAGGCGUUGGAAACGACGUCUAAUGCCGAAUACGACCUCCUUUCGCAUGAUCGGAGGUGGAAAGCUCCGGCGGAGAAGGAUGAGCUCGCGGCCUAUCAGCUAGUUGGUGUGGGUAAUGGCCCACCAAGGCGACGACGGGUAGCCGGCCUGAGAGGGUGACCGGCCACACGUGGGACUGAGACACGGCCCAGACUCCGACGGGAGNAG
rnacentral:rRNA from 1 species